AUUGAACGCUGGCGGCAUGCCUAACACAUGCAAGUCGAACGGCAGCAUGACGUGUAGCAAUACACGUUGAUGGCGAGUGGCGGACGGGUGAGUAAUACUUAGGAAUCUGCCCAGUAGCGGGGGAUAGCCCGGCGAAAGCCGGUUUAAUACCGCAUACGCCCUACGGGGGAAAGCGGGGGAUCGAAAGACCUCGCACUAUUGGAUGAGCCUAAGUCGGAUUAGCUAGUUGGUAGGGUAAUGGCCUACCAAGGCGACGAUCCGUAGCUGGUCUGAGAGGACGACCAGCCACACUGGGACUGAGACACGGCCCAGACUCCUACGGGAGGCAGCAGUGGGGAAUAUUGGACAAUGGGGGCAACCCUGAUCCAGCAAUGCCGCGUGUGUGAAGAAGGCCUGCGGGUUGUAAAGCACUUUUAGUGGGGAAGAAAUGUUCAGGGCUAACAUCCCUGAAUUUUGACGUUAUCCAAAGAAAAAGCACCGGCUAACUCCGUGCCAGCCGCCGCGGUAACAC
rnacentral:rRNA from 1 species